rnacentral:sRNA from 1 species
UUUUAAGCCAGAAUGUUGUGGAUGACGAUUGUGAUUUUAUGCUCUCGCAAUUCUUAAGAUAUAGAGGAAACCGAAUUCCUUAGGUAAAUUGGGAAACCGUAACAUUCACAAUCUGUUGAUAUGCAUCUUCGGGAUGAAAAACCUAAACUAACGCAAAGAUGCUGAAUUACUGGUUACGAUGCUUUGUGUUAGAGGUACAUAAACAGGAUGGCAGUGAAUACCCCCGCGUCCUCUAAUCAUUGUGUGCGGAUUACUGCGUCAUUUGCGAGAGGAAAACAUUCAAAAUUUGAAUUUUCUUGAUGAACAUGACCUCUCUGCCGUUUUCCGCAAAGUUUUAGACGUUUGCAUGAAGGAGUCAUUAUCAAAGGGCUCAGGUACCAAAGUGCGACAAGUUGAUUCGAUAAUGCCGGAAGAUGAGGAAAAAAUCUGGACUCGUGGAGUAUUUGGGUUAGAUUCUUCUCAAGAACUAAAGUAUACAGAUAUUCGGUCUAAGGACAAUUGACGAACAUCGGAUUUAGAUACUUAUGUUGUGGGGGUUUUUCGAGCGAUAAGUGGCUGUAUAAGCAGUAAAAAAUUGAUCAGUUUUCUUGUAAUAAUUUUUAUAGCUGCUUUAAACAUUUCACAGAAACUGUUAUGUUCAUUGAACUUCCUGAAUCACACGAAUUUGUAAAUGAUAAAUACAAUUUUCUUAUUUUUU